rnacentral:rRNA from 1 species
AACGAACGCUGGCGGCAUGCCUAACACAUGCAAGUCGAACGAGACCUUCGGGUCUAGUGGCGCACGGGUGCGUAACGCGUGGGAACCUGCCCUUAGGUUCGGAAUAACUCCCCGAAAGGGGUGCUAAUACCGGAUAAUGUCUUCGGACCAAAGAUUUAUCGCCUUUGGAUGGGCCCGCGUUGGAUUAGCUAGUUGGUAGGGUAAAAGCCUACCAAGGCGACGCUCCAUAGCUGGUCUGAGAGGCUGGUCAGCCACACUGGGACUGGGACACGGCCCAGACUCCUACGGGAGGCAGCAGUGGGUAAUAUUGGACAAUGGGCGAAAGCCUGAUCCAGCAAUGCCGCGUGAGUGAUGAAGGCCUUAGGGUUGUAAAGCUCUUUUACCCGGGAUGAUAAUGACAGUACCGGGAGAAUAAGCUCCGGCUAACUCCGUG